rnacentral:rRNA from 1 species
CUGAAGUCGUGGCUAGCAGCGGCGUUAAUACGGAUGGUGCUAGCGUUAAUCGGAAUAACCGGGCGUAAAGCGCACGCUGGCGGUCGGAUAAGUCAGAUGUGAAAGCCCCGGGCUCAACCUGGGAACUGCAUUUGAAACUGUUCGACUAGAGUCUUGUAGAGGGGGGUAGAAUUCCAGGUGUAGCGGUGAAAUGCGUAGAGAUCUGGAGGAAUACCGGUGGCGAAGGCGGCCCCCUGGACAAAGACUGACGCUCAGGUGCGAAAGCGUGGGGAGCAAACAGGAUUAGAUACCCCUGUAGUC